CCAAAGAGAGAAGAUUUGGUGAAAGCCUGCAAUGCCCUUGGAGUAUCAAAUGUAGGUAGUACCACUGACUUAAUAAACAGACUUGAGGAGCUACUGCUUUACAAGGACUUGUACCCCAAGAUGUUCAUCAAGCUUCAGUAGGUGGUGUUUUGCACAUGACUUGCACACACUCUGUGGUGUACUACCAAUCAGCACUGUGGUGGCAAGUGUCAGCCCGUGACCAUGGAGAUGCUCUGAGCUUUAAACACCCUCCCACAGUGUUUGUGUCAGAUAUUGCUGGACGUGUUGCAAGACAUGUUAAUAAUCGCACCAACCAGCGAUUUUUCCAGCCAUAUGAUGGCCGGCUUUGUGCAAACACUCCUGAGCACAUCCAGGCUGCAGCAGAAAAAACGACUUGAAGUCCAAUCCCAUGGGUGACAAGUGUUGGCUUCUCAUCAAGAACAGUCUCUGGAAAUGAGACCACCAAUUCUUCUGACAGAUUCUUCUCACUGCAUCCUGUGACAGGAACCAAUGCAAGAUUCUCCUUGUAUGAUCGCUUCCAUCAGAAAAAUCAAAGGAGACAAGUUUGAGGAGUUUGAAAUUGGCACCACAUUUAGCUGCUCUUGUCAACUCCCGCUUAGCAGAACAGCUAAACCGGGAGUUGUCUUCUAGCAAGUACUCGUUGUGUCAAAUGAAAGAUGAACAUUAUAUGUUCUCUCUUCGACUGUACUUUCAUCUUCACAACAAAAGGAUUAAUGACAAAUACACCAAAACUUUGAAGAUGCGAGCGAAGCAAUCAGUCCACAUUGGCCUACAUGGGAAACUGACAUUCAGGAGAGAAGGCAGUACCACAGCAGUUCCAGAAGUUUCAACAAGUUUACGAGAGCCUGACACUGACUGCUGGGGACGGACAGAUAUACGUGCCAGGAAGGAGAUCCCAGAUUUCCAGUUGCAAAACCAGCCAAACCCACUGGUAUGUUUUCACAAGGAAAAUAAUCAACUAUCAUAUCCUGUCUUGAACAAAGCAGAAAAAAAUAAUACUAGAUUAGUUAUAAAUAUGAUUCUUAAUAUUAAAGCCUUUAUUGACCAUCUAAUUCUUGAUGUUUGUCUUAUUUUUUUUUUUAGUUGGAUCAUGUUUUGGAUGAGACUCAAUCACCGGAAGAGAUCAUAGGUGCAGUGGGUACCACAGUGUUGAAAAGAUUGGAUUUGUCUUUAGGAUUGAACCAGGAAGUGGAGGCAACAGUUAGUGGAUAUUUUUGUUACACAACUUUUAUUUUAAUAUAUUUUUAGUCGCUUAUGAUAAAUUUUUUUUUUUGUAACCUAAAACAUUGUGAUCCUUAUGCAAUAGAUGGUGAAUUGUUGCCUUUCUCAGUUAUCCAUAAUUUCUGAACAAAAGGUAAUACAGGUAUCAUUAACAAACCUCUUUAACAGUAACUAAUAUUACAUAAUAUUUGUGCUUUUGUGAUAUGUUGUAAAAUGUUUGUUUUUUACCAGGGCAAGGAUGUUCAUGCUGUCAAUUCAUAUGUAGUGGUCACUUGGCAACCACCUUUAAAUUGUGAUCCGUUUCUGUCCCUGCCUGUAAGUGGUUUUAGAAACUUAAUUAAACGUAGUUUAAUUUUAAUGUACUGCUUUAAUGUUAUCAUCACUUAAAGGUGACAUAGGUGAUUCUCUACAGAAACAUUUUGUUAUGCUGGUUGAAAGUCUCCAGGUAUCCUGAUAGCAUUCACUAAGUGGUAUAAAUGUAAUUUUAUAAAUGUAUUUAGUCCGUGGGAAACUUACGUUUAUGUUGUGUCUCCAACAGUUGUGGUUUGGUUGUUGUCAUCAAAUAAUGUGUGGUGUUUUUUUUUUUUUUUUU
ensembl:lncRNA